rnacentral:rRNA from 1 species
AUGGGCAUCUUGCUGCCAAUGAUGUAUGCAUCACUCUUUCUGCUAGCAUCCGGGGCUCUAGCCAGCCAUGAUCCUGAAGGGAGUUGGGCACAUCCAGGUGCCAUGCUCGAAGGUUGCCCGACGAGCUGCGGCAAUCUAAGCGUCGACUACCCCUUCGGCAUCGGAUCCAGGUGCUCCCGUGGUCCUGAUUUUAAUCUCACUUGCAACGACACCACUAAGCCCCCCACGCUCUUCCUGAGCGACGGCAUCAGCGAGGUGCUCGAUGACCUUGCUGUUAGCUAUCAGGAUGAUGGCAAUCUUGACAAAAUAUUCAGUACCUCCUUCCGGCAUACCAUCCUCAUGAAACCCGGUGUCCAUGUCUAUGACUGGUCUUUCAAACCGCCCGGGAGGUCCUUUGAGUACAUCGGGCAAACAGCUCUAAACAUCACCGGCUGUGACCUGGACGUGUAUUGGGUCAAUGACAAUGCCGGCACUACCACACGGGCCUGCAGAACUGUGUGCCCAGACCAAGGGAUCACAGAGACGGUGGCUAGGCACCGUUGUAACGGCACCGGCUGUUGGUCUAAGUCUAACCGGACUGCUCCACUGUGGGAUAGAAUCAGUAUAACAGAUGAUGGUGGUGUCAUGAUUUCCUGGAGCAUAGUGGAUCAACCCAACUGUGUUGCUGCCAUGCGAGACAGGACAGCAUACGCCUGUGUCAGCAAGAACUCUGACUGCUACGAUACUGGAGAGGGCUACGCCUGCAUCUGCAAUGACGACGGCUAUGCACGCAACCCCUUCACUCCGGAUGGCUGCUCCAACGACAAAGGGUAUAAUCCAAUUCCGAGUAGGGCUGACUGUACACGUCGGUGUGGUAACAUUACUGUGGAAUUCCCGUUUGGCAUAGAAGAGGGUUGCUUUGCCCGGGAAGAGUUUCACCUCAACUGCACAAAUACAACGUCAUCGGCUGUUCUACUGCUGGAGGAUUUUGAGGUGACCGGCAUGAAUAUUGAAAAAGGGACCAUUGAGUACAACGGCCCUACCCGUGGACCACUAAGUGACACAUCUGGAGGACGCAUUCUUUUUGUGGGAUAUGAGUUGUUCUCCUCUCUGCGGUGGGUUGCUGCCAAUCUAAGUUGCCUAGAAGCCCAACAUAAUAUAUCUGGAUAUGCUUGUGUGAGUAUCAACAGCAGGUGUUUAGAAGUAAAUGCUACAUAUGACUAUAGCUUUUUUGAAGCUCCUAAAGAAGACACCUAUGUCGGUUACCGUUGUAAAUGCACAGACGGCUUCAAAGGAAACCCAUACAUCCAAAAUGGCUGUCGAGGUUGA